GCGCUUACAUCAGGAGCACGUAUACUAAACUUAGAACAGUACAGAGAAGACUAGUAUGGCCCCUGUGCAAGAAACGUGUUUUAAAAACUAUCCAGAGCUAUUG
rnacentral:snRNA from 1 species